rnacentral:lncRNA from 9 species
AAGGACAGUUAACGGCCAGGUAGCUCCUCUCUCCGAGAGCUGAAGGCGUCCCUGGGAGCUGAGCGAUGUUGGGCAGGAGAAUCCGGUAUGGGAAGCUCAAAGAAGGUCUGUCUGACUGCAGAGAUGUGUUUCAUUGUUGACUGUUUUAGAUAUACACUUGAAGAGACUAUCCUAAAGAUGUCAAUCAGAAAGCAGAAUGCAGAGAAUACGAGGGAGUGGAGUAAAAAUGGCAAAGGUAGGGGAAAUUUAGCUCUUCCAUACAAAUACUUCUCAGUGUGAUUUGCCUUUAGAUGUCAUCAUGGGACCAUCUGACACACUAAUUUUAUAGUUAUGUGGUUCUCUGUAAAUGGCACUUAUUAUUCACCUCUUUCUGCUUUUUCUUUCCAACUUUAUGGAUAAAAAUUGAGUUCAGUUUAUGAUUCAUUUCACUGCAGCUAUAGUUAGUCUCAUGGAAAGCUGUUCAUGCACUUUCAGAUUUCAUCAUUUGACAUUAGGCUAAAUUUCCCACCUAAUAAUUUUAGUGGAAUUUGCAGCAGUCUUGCAAGCAAGAACAUUUUUGAAGAUGCUCUUUUAAAGGAAAAUUGUUGAAUUUCUUUCAGUAGCUAUAAGCCCUACAUUUUAAAAAUUCUUUCUUCCAUUUUGUGGCAUCUAGGAAAUAAGUGUAUAGAAUGAAUUUCCCAAAGACCUUAGUAUCCUCUAUGCUCUAAUGCUGAUGAAAAAGCUAAAAUGUAAGUAACAUGUCUGAAAUCGAAGUCACUGGAAUGCGUUUUCAAAUGCAUAGUUUAAAAGGCUAGUGUAAAAUGUUCAAAUUAAUUAACAAUCCUGUAGAUUAUAAUACACUGUGAUGGCAUUAAACAAUCCAAGCUGCCAGCCACGUUUAAGGAGUAAAUUCUCAUUUCUGCCCCUUGUUUCCCUCAUUUCAUUUCUUCUUCCUGAAGUAUAAGAUGAUAAUAACACAUAACUUCUCAAUUUGGAGCAAAGACUUUUUCUUUCAUUAAUCAGUAAUCAAAGUAGUUAUUCUUUUUCCUUUUAAAAGUGAAAAAAUUAUGCUAAUAUUGACAAUUUAAUUUUUCACGUGAAAAAUUGUUCUUGGUGAGCCACAUCCUUAAUCUUUUCUGCCCUGAAAAGACUUAUGACAUGCACCUGUACCUUAAUGAACAUAGAAAUAUAUUUUUGUUAAAAAAUUUUAAGAUGGCUGUAAAAUAUGAAACCCCAUGCUUAUUUAAUAGUUGAGCAUUAUGUACUUUGGGUACUUUAUAUGCAAACCCUACAUAUCCUACUUUGUAGAUUAAACAAUUCAUGCUGUUUUAAUAGAUAAGGCUCAUGUACAAAAUUCACCAGUACUGAAAUAUAUUUCUCUUGAAUUUCAUCCCUAAAUCCUUAGGUUCCUCCCCAGAGACAGCUCCUAAUAAUCCACUUCUUUCUAUCCUUUGAGAUUACCCAUACAUUACACACACAGUGCCCAUUCAUAAUUAUAGUUUUAUUGUUGUUUUGGGCAAGUCAUAUAAAACUCUGUUCUACAUUUGCUCUUUGUACUUAAUACUCUCUUUCAGAUUUUUUUCCACAGCAGGACAGAUGUAGUUUCCUCAUUCUCCUCAAUGCAUAUGGAGAUGUUUCAUGAAUGGAUAUGAUUCAUGGAGCUCUAGUUACCACAAAGCUUCCAUUAUUUUUCAGAAGGAAAUAAACUGCCUAUUAACAGUAUCAUGUAUACAUUAUUUUGUAAAGUUUCAAUUAUAUCUUUAGGAAAUUAACUAAAUAUGGAAUUUUGAGACCAAAAGGUAUACUUUAGUUUUGAUAAGAAUUCUUUAUUUUUAUUUUUAUUGAAGUAUAAUUGAUGUAUGAUAUUAUAUGUUACAGGUGUACAAUAUAGUGAUUUAUGAUUUAUAAAGUUAUAUUCCAUUUAUA